rnacentral:rRNA from 1 species
UGACGAGUGGCGGACGGGUGAGUAAUGCUUGGGAACAUGCCUUUGUGAGGGGGAUAACUGUUGGAAACGACGGCUAAUACCGCAUAACGACUGAGGUCCAAAGGGGGGAGUUUGCUCCUCUCGCGCAAAGAGUGGCCCAAGUGAGAUUAGCUGGUUGGUGAGGUAAAGGCUCACCAAGGCGACGAUCUCCAGCUGUUCUGAGAGGAAGAUCAGCCACACUGGGACUGAGACACGGCCCAGACUCCUACGGGAGGCAGCAGUGGGGAAUAUUGCACAAUGGGGGAAACCCUGAUGCAGCCAUGCCGCGUGUGUGAAGAAGGCCUUCGGGUUGUAAAGCACUUUCAGUUGUGAGGAAAGGUUGUUGGUUAAUACCCAGCAGCUGUGACGUUAGCAACAGAAGAAGCACCGGCUAACUCCGUGCCUGCAGCCGCGGUAAUACGGAGGGUGCGAGCGUUAAUCGGAAUUACUGGGCGUAAAGCGCACGCAGGCGGAAUGUUAAGCUAGAAGUGAAAGCCCUGGGCUCAACCUGGGAAGGCCUUUUAGAACUGGCAUUCUAGAGUUUUGGAGAGGGGAGUGGAAUUCCACGUGUAGCGGUGAAAUGCGUAGAUAUGUGGAGGAACAUCAGUGGCGAAGGCGACUCUCUGGCCAAAGACUGACGCUCAUGUGCGAAAGUGUGGGUAGCGAACAGGAUUAGAUACCCUGGUAGUCCACACCGUAAACGCUGUCUACUAGCUGUGUGUGAUUUUAAAUUGUGCGUAGCGAAGCAAACGCGCUAAGUAGACCGCCUGGGGAGUACGGCCGCAAGGUUAAAACUCAAAUGAAUUGACGGGGGCCCGCACAAGCGGUGGAGCAUGUGGUUUAAUUCGAUGCAACGCGAAGAACCUUACCAGGACUUGACAUCCA